rnacentral:rRNA from 1 species
CAGUAGCCGCGGGAAUACGUAGGGUGCAAGCGUUAAUCGGAAUUACUGGGCGUAAAGCGUGCGCAGGCGGUUUGUUAAGACAGAUGUGAAAUCCCCGGGCUCAACCUGGGAACUGCAUUUGUGACUGGCAAGCUAGAGUCUGGCAGAGGGGGGUGGAAUUCCGCGUGUAGCAGUGAAAUGCGUAGAUAUGCGGAGGAACACCGAUGGCGAAGGCAGCCCCCUGGGCCAACACUGACGCUCAUGCACGAAAGCGUGGGGAGCAAACAGGAUUAGAUACCCGAGUAGUCCCUGUCUCUUAUAC